AUAUAUAUUAAAUAAAUUAAAUUUAAUCUAGAUUGUUUAUUAAUAAAAAAGACGUUAUUAGAUUUUAGUGCUGGAAGUUUGCUCAAAAUUAUUCAAUAACGCCAACGAACGCACCGUGCACGUAGUAUAAAGUGCAGACAGAAUGGACAAGAUAAUUUCAAAGAAUUUGGCAUUUUAUCAUGAAAUAAUUAUUACAUAUAGGAUGUUUAAGAUGUCAAUUUUAUUUGGAUUGACUACUUUCGCAUAUUAUGCAGGGUAAUCUCUCUUUACAUAUAUAUCGUUCACAUUUACAACAUUUUAAGGUAAUGAAAUCAUUUUGCAGUAGCACGCAAUUUGAGAUGUUCUUUCAGUAAGGAAAACGAUAAAUUAUGUACAAAAAAUAAGCGAUACUUUUCUUAUUUUAAAUGCAUCACGUAAUGUAACAUUCGCCAGUGUAUUCCGACUAUAUAACAAUGCGAAAAAUUACACUAAACACCACCAAUAUACAACCAGCUUGUUUUACGAUUUUAUGCUUCUUUUGAAUGCAGAAACUACUGGGAAUGUUAAUAAACAUAUUAAACAAUUUAGAUCCCCAAGACGCCUA